UAUAAAUUGAGACCAUUGAUUUAUAAAUCAAAAAUUUUACCAAACAAGUUUUUAUUUGAGUUUUUAAAAUUUUUGUAAAUAUAAACAGAAAACUGAAAACGUAAGUGUUACCAAACGGCACCUUUGCAUUUCGGUAAUUCAUAGUGCCUCGUGAGAAAUAAAAUGAAAAGGGAAGUAACUUGUUCUGCCUUAGUUUCAUGUAAUUGUGAAACUGAUAAGUUGACUCCUUUACAUUGGUUCUAUUGGGUCUAAAUUUAAUCCACGCACCAUACCAGCUUGGGUUACUAAGGGAUAUUCAGAGGAGAGGAGAUUGAUGAAUCAAUCCCAUUUGGCAAUCCUCAAAAGCAUAGACAUUACAAAGAGAGUAGUAGCCAGAAUGGUUGGUUGCACCUCUGUAGCUCACCAAAUUAGGCUUUCCAACAACUCAAACAUUACCCAAUUGACUAAAAAUUGGCUCAGAGGAAGCAAACUUAGCUAUCACUCUUAGGAGCUCUAGAGUCCACAAGGCAAAGGUAUUUUUGAUGAGUUAAAAAAAUGAUCUUUUUCUAUUUUUUUGGUUCUUCUCAAUAUAUGGAAAUUUGUUUUUUGAACCACAUGCAAAUUAAAGGUUGGGAACCACGGAUGUGAGUAAAAUUAUUUUGAUACGUAAAAUUAUUUUAAUUUUCUUGUUCUUCUUUAAUGGAAAUUCAACCUCUUACAUAGAAUAUUUGUGGGUAUUAUAUGAUUAAGGACUGAAUAUUUAUUUGGACUGUUUUCUGCCCUGAUAUUCUGCACACAUGGGUGUGUUCUUGUUGUCAUUUCUCAAUUUAGUAAAUUUACUUAAUUUGCACUGAAGUUCUAAUAUAAAUUCCUUGUAUGCUAGCUUAUGUCUUCUCUUUUAUACAAUGAUUGUUUAUUUGUGUUUGUGUGUGGAAUCAAAAGAAAAACAUUCCAAGUAUUUGUUAUUUGAAAUAGUCACCCUUCUCUAGACAUUGUUUUAUUUUUCACAUGUUUGAUAGUGACAAUGUAAAGAAUUUAGAUGAAGGUGCAUAGUUGUGGAUGUUUUUGGGGAUAAAACAAAGAUUUUGGGUCAAGAUUUUUAAGCAUUUUGAAACAAACUAGUGCUGGUCAUAGUUAUAUAAAUGUAAUUUUGGUGAAUAUAAAUGAAACAAAAUAUUUUUGUUAAUUCUUUGUGAUCAAAUAGUUAACUUGUAGAUUAUAAUCCUUGUAAUUUUCCUUUGGUUUUGUUGCUGAAAUACUGAAAAACAAUGGAUUAGCUGUUCAAAAGAGUAAGAUUCUUGAUUUUGUUGUUUAUCAUGAAAGAAAAUAUGUUUCUUCAUAUUUCAUCUCGUAAGCAAAAUGUCGAACUCUUGAUUUCCGUCAAAUUAAAUGGUUACCAUUUUGCAAAGAUUAUGACUUCAGCUGUCGAUAUGAAGGAUGAGUCAAGAGGGCGACCUAUCCAGAAAGCUAAAAUUGAGAUAUUGCUGGGGAAGACUGAGAAAUUUGAUGAAUUGAUGGCAGCUACUACUGCAGAAAGAGAACUUAGAGAAUGUGAAGAGCAGAGUGUUGAAGUGGUACUAUUUUAAUUUCUGGGUUGUUAGUCUUAAUGUAGUACGAGUGAAUGCAAUUUUAACCAGUUUCUUUAAUUAUAGUAGUUUUAGUACGAGUGAAAGUUAGAUAUGUAUAAUUUUGGAUGGUUUAAACUUUUUGUACAGUUUAGAAUUUAAGAAUAUGGUUUUUGAAUAUUUGGAAUGUAUAGACAAUUGUUGAAUGUUUAUAACUUAUGGAUAUAGUUUUUUUUUA